GAAAUGCGAUAAGUAGUGUGAAUUGCAGAAUUCAGUGAAUCAUCGAAUCUUUGAACGCACAUUGCGCCCGCCAGCACUCUGGCGGGCAUGCCUGUUCGAGCGUCAUUUCAACCCUCAGAACCCCUUGCGGGAUCUGGCGUUGGGGAUUGGCAUCCAGCCAGCCCCGAAAUCUAGUGGCGGUCCCUCCGCGACCUCCCCUGUGCAGUAGCGAUACCUAGCAGCGGGACAGCGGUCUGACCACGCCGUAAAACCCCCAACUUCUCAAGGUUGACCUCGAAUCAGGUAGGAAUACCCGCUGAACUUAAGC
rnacentral:misc_RNA from 1 species